rnacentral:rRNA from 1 species
ACAGGGAUUGCCCUAGUAACGGCGAGUGAAGCGGCAACAGCUCAAAUUUGAAAUCUGGCUCUUUCAGAGUCCGAGUUGUAAUUUGCAGAGGGCGCUUUGGCUUUGGCAGCGGUCCAAGUUCCUUGGAACAGGACGUCACAGAGGGUGAGAAUCCCGUACGUGGUCGCUAGCUAUUGCCGUGUAAAGCCCCUUCGACGAGUCGAGUUGUUUGGGAAUGCAGCUCUAAAUGGGAGGUAAAUUUCUUCUAAAGCUAAAUAUUGGCCAGAGACCGAUAGCGCACAAGUAGAGUGAUCGAAAGAUGAAAAGCACUUUGGAAAGAGAGUCAAACAGCACGUGAAAUUGUUGAAAGGGAAGCGCUUGCAGCCAGACUUGCUUGCAGUUGCUCAUCCGGGCUUUUGCCCGGUGCACUCUUCUGCAGGCAGGCCAGCAUCAGUUUGGGCGGUGGGAUAAAGGUCUCUGUCACGUACCUCUCUUCGGGGAGGCCUUAUAGGGGAGACGACAUACCACCAGCCUAGACUGAGGUCCGCGCAUCUGCUAGGAUGCUGGCGUAAUGGCUGUAAGCGGCCCGUCUUGAAACACGGACCAAGGAGUCUAACAUCUAUGCGAGUGUUUGGGUGUCAAGCCCGAGCGCGUAAUGAAAGUGAACGGAGGUGGGAACCCGCAAGGGUGCACCAUCGACCGAUCCUGAAGUUUACGGAAGGAUUUGAGUAAGAGCAUGGCUGUUGGGACCCGAAAGAUGGUGAACUAUGCUUGAAUAGGGUGAAGCCAGAGGAAACUCUGGUGGAGGCUCGCAGCGGUUCUGACGUGCAAAUCGAUCGUCAAAUUUGGGCAUAGGGGCGAAAGACUAAUCGAAC